GACGAACGCUGGCGGCGUGCUUAACACAUGCAAGUCGAACGGAAAGGCCCUGCUUUUGUGGGGUGCUCGAGUGGCGAACGGGUGAGUAACACGUGAGUAACCUGCUCUUGACUUUGGGAUAACUUCAGGAAACUGGGGCUAAUACCGGAUAGGAGCUCCUGCUGCAUGGUGGGGGUUGGAAAGUUUCGGCGGUUGGGGAUGGACUCGCGGCUUAUCAGCUUGUUGGUGGGGUAGUGGCUUACCAAGGCUUUGACGGGUAGCCGGCCUGAGAGGGUGACCGGCCACAUUGGGACUGAGAGACGGCCCAGACUCCUACGGGAGGCAGCAGUGGGGAAUAUUGCACAAUGGGCGGAAGCCUGAUGCAGCAACGCCGCGUGCGGGAUGACGGCCUUCGGGUUGUAAACCGCUUUCGCCUGUGACGAAGCGUGAGUGACGGUAAUGGGUAAAGAAGCACCGGCUAACUACGUG
rnacentral:rRNA from 1 species